AUUAAGCACCUUUAGAUUUAUGUAGAGUAAAAUGUAUUUUUGUAACAAAAAUACAUUUUACUCUACAUAAAUCUAAAGGUGCUUAAU